rnacentral:lncRNA from 1 species
GCCACAUCAGCCUUCGGUUAUGAAGUCACACGAGAGCACCCACCACAACACGCUGAUGCGUACCAUAAGUACAAUUGAUUUCCAUAAAGCAUUGGCCGCAAUUAAAGGUCCCACCUAGUUCCCCAAUUAACUCCACGGUCCAUUGAUUUCCAUAACUUUCUAUUCAUCUUCUCCACUCACAUGGAUCUCCCUUACCUAACCCAGGGCGGCUGAUCGGACUGAGGUGAGGGCACCCUCCCGGCACCGCGGCCGCCUCUGUCGGUUCCAUCGACGGUCUCCCCUCCUUCUCCGCCCCGCAGAAGUCCUUUGGCCUCCGUCGGGCCCUGCUUCUUCGGUCGCUUCCCGCAGAUGGAAAAUAUGGAGAGGAAGUUCCAGCAUGCGGUGGUGGAUUUGUGGUUGGCUUACUCCCUCAACAUCACUUGCACCAAAGGUGGGUGCUCUCCCUCCUCAAUCUUCACAGAUCUCUUCUUGAACUUAUGCCCUUUGAAUUUGUCAGAUUGCCCCUCCGGAUCAGAAGGUGCUCCAUGUUUUGCUUCAUACAUAUCUUGGUGCUUGAUUCCCAGCCAACAACGCCAAGAGCAACGAGGUUUUACUCCUCGUGGAAUCUUCACGAAUGACUCCAAGUCUACUUUGUUUCCGGAUAUUCUCAAUAUAAGUAAGUACGGUACAUCUCAAGCAUGCACAUCUGUAGCAUCAUACCUACAUAUGAUUAGUUGAUUUAUGCACAUGCUUUAUACCAUUAUCAGACUUUGUUGUUGUUUGUUUUUGUAGAUCCGUCCGUUCUGUCUUAUCUGAAUUUAGAUAGACUUCCCAGAUUGUAGCUUUGAUUUCAAUGAGAAAACCUAGAGAAGGUAAGGUGAUCUUGCUAUGUUGAAUCGUCUGUUCAAACUCGGUUAAAUGGGAUUCAGUGCCACAUCUAAUUUUUUGACAAUGCUGAUACCCUUGGUCGAUGUACUGAUGUUGUUUGGGUAUUGUAUCGGAUGGAACAUAAUUUUAUGUGUUAAUCUCUCUCUCUCUCAUAAAUCAUUAUCAUGUACUCUUACUCAUCUUCCCGAGUCAUUCUAUUGGUUUUGUAUUUUUAGAAUUUUAUGUGUUAUAAUCUAUCAUAAAUCAUGAUUAUGUACAGUACUUCUUACUCAACUUAUUGAUUCAUUUUGUUCAUUUUGUUUUGUAGAAAUUGGGGUAUGUUGUUCAAGUAAGUUUAGCUGACUGCUCGGAUUGUCAACCAUUGCUUUUUCUUUAGUUAUUCGACAGUCACUAUUUUAAUUUCCUAACUAUACACAUGUCUCCUUGUAUGUCUACUUAUAGUCCUCUCUUAACAGUUCAAGUAGCACAAUCUCUUCCUUUCAGACCCUUAUAUAGAAACUACAAGCAAAUGUUGCUGGCUCUGUUGUACAUCUUGGAGUUAAUGUAUAUUCUCUUUUAGUUAGCCGAUGCAAUGCUAUGAAGUUAUUCUUUUACCCUUCCUUGAGAAUAUGGAAAUUCAUGUUUGGUGACCCAGUUGGGCAAGUUAUGCGCACUUCAACUACAAUUUAUUUGAAUGCAUAUCAGAUCAUAUUGUG